CACGUAGGCACCAAGCGUUGUCCGGAUUUAUUGGGCGUAAAGAGCUCGUAGGCGGUUCAGUAAGUCAGGUGUGAAAUCUUUGGGCUUAACCCAAAGCGUGCACUUGAUACUGCUGUGACUUGAGUUCGGUAGGGGAGUGGGGAAUUCCUAGUGUAGCGGUGAAAUGCGCAGAUAUUAGGAGGAACACCGGUGGCGAAGGCGCCACUCUGGGCCGAAACUGACGCUGAGGAGCGAAAGCGUGGGGAGCAAACAGG
rnacentral:rRNA from 1 species